rnacentral:rRNA from 1 species
GACGAACGCUGGCGGCGUGCUUAACACAUGCAAGUCGAACGGUGAAAGUGGGAGCUUGCUCCUGCUGGAUCAGUGGCGAACGGGUGAGUAACACGUGAGCAAUCUGCCCCGAACUCUGGGAUAAGCGCUGGAAACGGCGUCUAAUACCGGAUACGACGCGCGAAGGCAUCUUCUGCGCGUGGAAAGAAUUUCGGUUCGGGAUGAGCUCGCGGCCUAUCAGCUAGUUGGUGAGGUAACGGCUCACCAAGGCGACGACGGGUAGCCGGCCUGAGAGGGUGACCGGCCACACUGGGACUGAGACACGGCCCAGACUCCUACGGGAGGCAGCAGUGGGGAAUAUUGCACAAUGGGCGCAAGCCUGAUGCAGCAACGCCGCGUGAGGGAUGACGGCCUUCGGGUUGUAAACCUCUUUUAGCAGGGAAGAAGCGAAAGUGACGGUACCUGCAGAAAAAGCACCGGCUAACUACGUGCCAGCAGCCGCCGUAACAC